UACGGGGGGGGCAAGCGUUGUUCGGAAUCAUUGGGCGUAAAGGGUGCGUAGGCGGCGCGGUAAGUCGGGUGUGAAAUCUCGGGGCUUAACUCCGAAACUGCAUUCGAUACUGCCGUGCUUGAGGACUGGAGAGGAGACUGGAAUUUACGGUGUAGCGGUGAAAUGCGUAGAUAUCGUAAGGAAGACCAGUGGCGAAGGCGGGUCUCUGGACAGUUCCUGACGCUGAGGCACGAAGGUCAGGGGAGCAAACGGG
rnacentral:rRNA from 1 species